rnacentral:lncRNA from 1 species
AAAGUAUAAGAAGAUUAAAAUUAAUGUGAGGAAAAUUUGAUGAGAAAGUGAAUAAAAAAAAUAAAGACAAAAAAAGAGUGAUAUUACUAUACCUGAAAUACCUAUCACAUAAAUAAAAUGGUGAUAUCUAUAUAUUGCUGGUAAAUAUAAAUCAAUAUCAAAAUAAUAGCAUGAUUAAUUAUAAUUGUAGGAAAAAUAAUACCUAUCACAUAAAUAAAAUGGUGAUAUAUAUAUAUAUAUAUAUAUAUAUGAAUCGAGUAUAUGUUUAGUCCUUCAUAACAUGAUUAAUUAUAAUUGUAGGAAAAAUAGAAGAAUAAACAAUUGCACAAAAUAAUAGUACCUCAAUAAUAUGAAUGUUGCAUAUAUUUUGUUACAUGAAUCUCAACUUUAUCUCCACAAAUCAAUCUCCAUGGGAAUCCCUGGAAAUCAAACAUGUAUAUUUACAUCAAAUUAACAAUAAGAACCAUAACACAAAAUUCUACCAAUGCAAAACCACAUAAAAAAGUAUAUUGUAUAAAUUAAAAGUAAAAAUAUUAAAAAACAUAUACAUAAAAAUCAACAAAAAUACAACGUAUGAUAAUAAAUUAGUUCAA